rnacentral:rRNA from 1 species
CCGUUUGAGAGAGAGGGGUCCCGCUCGGCUUCAGGUGGUGGUUGGGUAGGGGGGUGGGGGGAGCUGGCGGAGGCGCGGCCGGCGGCUCUACCUCUGGGGCGGCGGCGGCGGCGCGACCGGCGGCCCGAAGGCGAAGUCGGGGUGGCUGCUCCUCGAGCAGGAGAAGAAGGAGUUCGCGGCCCAGCGGCGGCCGGCGGGGAGGGGGAUGUAGCGGCUGCAGCUGCAGAUGUUCAGGGUGGGGAGGGUGGAGGGGCUCUCCAGCCGCGACGCCUGCCCCCUGUUCGUCACCAAGAAGACGUCGGCCGACCUGGCGUUCAUGGGGUUGCCGAGCGCGCGGUCGGCGUGGUGGCGGCUGCCGAUGACCUUCCGGUGCCCGUUCCUGGCGAGGUAGACGUUGCGGCCGGCGCGGCACCCCUUGUUCUUCUGCGAGCAGAUGGUGGUGCCGGCGCGCGGCGCGCCCCUCGCGUGGCUGACCCAGUACGUGCUCAUGUGGUAGGAGCGGCUGCGCGAGGGCGGCGGGCGUGCCACGGCGCUCAGGAUGCGGGAGAUGUUCGAGAAGCUCUUCUCGCCCCAGCCGGGGUUCUUGCCGCUCGUCAUGCCGCGCGGGAAGGCCCUCCUCCUGACCGACCUGCUGCUGCUGCUGACGCUCGACGGGAGACUAGGGUAGGGAUAGCGGCAGUCAGAUGGAUCUCGGCACUGUCACCUGCUCGUCUAACCCCUACAAAACUGUCAACAGCUCGUCUAACCCCCACACUGUCACCUGUUCGUCUAACCCCAAUACUGUCACCUGCUGGUCGAACCCCUAGAACUCCACAAGGACAACGUUUUACCUCUACUAGACCCUUUGUCACUUGGUGUCAGCCUAAAGAGCUGUGGCCAAAGAAGUGUCCGAGGCGAAGUCGUACCGGUAGGAGUUCCAGCCGGGUCGCUACUACCAUUGUAUAGACUCCAGCGUCUACGAUGUUGGUCGUCGGCACCAUACCAUUACCGCCACUUAUGCACGUGACUUGAGGGAAAACCCCUAGAACUCCCCGAUGACUACCUUUAUAGCCUACUAGUUGCCCGGUGACUUAGCAAGCUUCUUAAGAGUCUUAAGUAAGGGGUUGACGUCGAAGUCGUACUACUAGUACUCGUACUCCGAACCGGGUUACGGUUGUACCUCCUCUAAUCACAACGCCUAAUACGGUGAUCAUUACCGCAACACCUGCGAAGUCCUACAUGACAGUGGCUCGAAGGGAUACUCCUAUAACUUCCCGAAGACAACGUUAAUCUCUUACUGGUCCCUUUACAGGUUGGUGACCGUCUAAAGAGGUGUGGUCAAGGAGCAGUACUCAAGGUAGUCCAACCGAGACCUCUAAAGGUACCUACAGUGCCACGAUGUAAGUUGAGACAUCUAGGAAGAAGACGUCACGUUCUUUUGUCUCUAGAACUAGGUGCUAGCCUCGGGUCAUUAGUUUAAUGUGUCAGACGGGAGUGGUUGUACGGUAACUUAACCCUUUGUCUAACGUGACUUCUUUGUUCACGCGACGCUAGACACAGUCCCAACCGGUCAAUACUGCCAGUCCUACGACUCCUCCUCAAGGAACUUUAGUUGCUAAAGAACCUAGGUCUUCUACAUCCUGUCUCAUACUUAACAUGACGUUGACUCGUGAAUUAAAGACGUAGGUUACCAUACAAACUGUCAAACCUCAAACGGCUGCGAAGGUACAAAGAUGGACCGAGUAAACUGUGUCGACCUCACCGCUGACUUUUGGUCAAACCAAUAGAACCACUAUCACCUAGGGUCUUGGUCCCUAAGGUCAUAUGUAGACUUAGCACCUGCGUGUUGGUCCAGCGAGACUUACACGCCUUGGUGUACUUAGUAUUGGUACAACAGAAGAGUGUACGUAGUCCGUGACGCUUAAAGGUGUGCCACUUACUCGUUGGUGUAUUGGACUCAGGUCGCCUAAGCGUCAGUACCAAGUUAAGUCGACACAGUCGGGACGACCUACGCCAUGGACGGUUAGGUCGAGACCGCCGACUUUUGUUACAAGAGUUGUCUUGUGAGGUUGCGUAAAGAUCGAAAUCCAGUCUUGUUCGAGGCUUCCUUCUUCGUUCGCGGGGUCAAUAGGUCCAAUCUUCUUCCCCGCGUCCCGACUAGAGCCAGAGCGAUGACCAAAACGAACGACGGUAGUACACCUGGAAACGACGACCGUGGCCCAUGCGUUAGUUCAAGACGUUCCCCAAUACCUUCAGGAGGAGAUGUACUGUUCUACUACGUGUUUCAAACGAGCUGAAUGGGAUCGGCAACUAGGAGUAGUAAUGGGGAGUCAACGAUCAAUAACAAAACGAUAGUAAGGGUAACCUUUUUCCGCUUCUCCAUCUUCGUAAGGGUAACCUUUUUCCGCUUCUCCAUCUUCGUAAAGGUUUCACACUAAACUCCACAAUCAAAAUUCGAGUACGUCCUCCGAACCUUUUGGGUUUUUUCUUUCUUUUUUUUAUUGAUUACCAUUAUAUAUAUAUAUUGAUGAUGAGGAUGAAUCGAUAACGGGAGUACACCCACACUCUGUAGAAUACGGCCUACACUAAUUUGGUGCUUCUCCCUACGCUGGAUACACGUAUCAUAAUGAUAAUAUCUUAAUAAUACUAAAACGAGUUUUAAGUACUAUUACACACGGACCAAUCACGAAUGAAGAAAGACAGGGUGACAAACUACUUUUCCUACCGGGGGGACUACGUAUAGAGAGUAAAACGGUUGACAUUGUAAAGUAACAAUCUGGACAUUAAGUAAACGAGUCGGUAUAAAGACACUUUAAUCUGUCCGGCUAGUAGCUGGUGUUACAAACUGAUACUCCUGGGUAUAGGCUAGGAAAUAUAAAUGGUAAUAAUAAAUGUUACUUCAGUUUCUGACAUUAAAGAAUACUUUUAAAUCGACUUCGUACCUGCCAUUUGCAUAAUCGACGGUGUUUUAUAUCUCGAAAAGAAGAGUACUUUUGGUUUUCGUCUGUCUGUUUAAAAUAAAACUUCUCUUUGUGUGUGUCGAGUUGACCGACAUCCGUAUAAGCUG